GUCCACGCCGUAAACGAUGUGUGCUUGACGUUGGCGGGUUUACCCGCCGGUGUCGCAGCUAACGCGAUAAGCACACCGCCUGGGGAGUACGGCCGCAAGGUUAAAACUCAAAGGAAUUGACGGGGGCCCGCACAAGCGGUGGAGCAUGUGGUUUAAUUCGACGCAACGCGAAGAACCUUACCAGCCCUUGACAUGGGGAGUAUGGGUUGCCGAGAGGUGAUCCUUCAGUUCGGCUGGCUCCCACACAGGUGCUGCAUGGCUGUCGU
rnacentral:rRNA from 1 species